AUUGAACGCUGGCGGCAUGCCUUACACAUGCAAGUCGAACGGCAGCGGGGACUUCGGUCCGCCGGCGAGUGGCGAACGGGUGAGUAAUGUAUCGGAACGUACCUUUCAGUGGGGGAUAACGUAGCGAAAGUUACGCUAAUACCGCAUAUUCUCUGAGGAGGAAAGCAGGGGACCUUCGGGCCUUGCGCUGAUGGAGCGGCCGAUAUCAGAUUAGCUAGUUGGUGGGGUAAAGGCUCACCAAGGCUACGAUCUGUAGCGGGUCUGAGAGGAUGAUCCGCCACACUGGGACUGAGACACGGCCCAGACUCCUACGGGAGGCAGCAGUGGGGAAUUUUGGACAAUGGGCGAAAGCCUGAUCCAGACAUGCCGCGUGAGUGAAGAAGGCCUUCGGGUUGUAAAGCUCUUUCGGACGGGAAGAAAUCAUGAGGGCUAAUAUCCCUUGUGGAUGACGGUACCGUAAUAAGAAGCACCGGCUAACUACGUGCCAGCCGCCGCGGUAA
rnacentral:rRNA from 1 species